rnacentral:rRNA from 1 species
GACGAACCGUGCAAACGUUGUUCGGAUUCACUGGGCUUAAAGGGCGCGUAGGCGGGUUUUCAAGUCCGGGGUGAAAUCCUCUCGCUCAACGAGAGAACUGCCCCGGAUACUGGAGACCUCGAGGGAGGUAGGGGCAUGUGGAACUUCCGGUGGAGCGGUGAAAUGCGUAGAUAUCGUAAGGAAGACCAGUGGCGAAGGCGGGUCUCUGGACAGUUCCUGACGCUGAGGCACGAAGGCCAGGGGAGCAAACGGG